UUUUUUUUUUGCUUUUUUUUGCUUCUGUUUAGUUAUAAAUUUUUCAUCUAGCUUCUGUUUAUAUGUGUUUUCAUGUUUUAAUUAGUGUUUGUGCCAAGUAGAACCUAUAGGAUAACCUACGGUGAUAGUUAAUUUGAUUCUGCUGAAAAACAGAAACUUUGCACGCAUGAAACUAAUUUUAGUAAUUCACAGAAACGUUAUUUUGUGUUGAUUCUUUUUGCUGUAGAUCAAUAGGCAAAUUUCCAAGGACUUCCCAUUUUGGUAGGAUUUUUAGAGUUCCAGAAGUAUUCGAGAGUUAUAGAUUACUACAGACGAUUCUGUUUUUGACAGAUUCUGUUUUUCGUGUGUCAUUUGCUUAUUUUGAUGCAUCUAUGGCUAGUAUCAAGGGGUAUGAACCAUAGAGAAGUUGGAAUACAGUAGGUUUAACACCAAUAUAAAUAAAUAAUGAGUUCAUUACAGUACCUUAUGUGGUGGUUUUUCUUUCUUGCACUAACGGAGCUUAUGAGAUUUCCUGUUGAGUUUUGUGUUGUGAAGUUUUCAAGUUUUGGAUAAAGAUUUGAUGGAUUAUGGAUUAAGGUGUGGCAACAGACUAAGCUUGGGGAUGCCCAUGGCACCCUAAGAUAUUCAAGGAUAACCAAAAUCCUAAGCCUGGGGAUGCCCCGGAAGGCAUCCCCUCUUUCGUCUUCGUCUAUCGGUAACUUUACUUGGAGCUAUAUUUUUAUUCGCCACAUGAUAUGUGUUUUGCUUGGAGCUUCUUGUAUGAUAUUAGUCUUUGCUUUUUAGUUUACCACAAUCAUACUUGCUGUACACACCUUUUGGGAGAAGCCCACUUGAUUAGAAUUUAUUAGAAUAAUCUAUGUGCUUCACUUAUAUCUUUUGAGCUAGAUAGUUUUUCCUCUAGUGCUUCACUUAUAUCUUUAAGAGCACGGCAGUGGCUUAUUUUUGUAGAAAUUGUUGAUCUCUCAUGCUUUACUUAUAUUAUUUUGAGAGUCUCUUUGAACAACAUGGUAUUUGCUAUGGUUAUAAAAUUGGUCCUAGAAUGAUGGGCAUCCAAGUUGGGUAUAAUAAAAAACUAUCAUAGAAAGUGAAUUGGAUGCUAUGAUCAAUUUGAUGCUUGAUAAUUGUUUUGAGAUAUAGAGGUGGUGAUAUUAGAGUCAUGCUAGUUGGGUAAUUGUGAAUUUAAAGAAUACUUGUGUUGAAGUUCGUGAUUCCCAUAGCAUGCACGUAUGGUGAACCGCUUUGUGAUGAAGUUGGAGCACAAUUUUAUUUAUUGAUUUUCUUCCUUAUGAGUGGCGGUCGGGGAUGAGCGAUGGUCUGUUCCUACCAAUCUAUCCCCCUAGGAGCAUGCGUGUAGUACCUUGUUUUCAAUGAGUUGUAGAUUUUUGCAAUAAGUAUAUGAGUUCUUUAUGAUUAAUGUUGAGUCCAUGGAUUAUACGCAGUUUCACCUUCCACCAUUGCUAGCCUCUCUUGUGCCGCGCAACUUUCACUGGUACCAUACACCCACCAUAUACCUUCCUCAAAACAGCCACCAUACCUACCUAUUAUGGCAUUUCCAUAGCCAUUCCAAGAUAUAUUGCCAUGCAACUUUCCACCGUUCCGUUUAUAUGACACACAUCAUCAUUGUCAUAUUGCUCUUUGCAUGAUCAUGUAGUUGACAUCGUAUUUGUGGCAAGGCCACCUUCAUAAUUUUCAUACAUGUCACUCUUGAUUCAUUGCAUAUCCCGGUACACCGUCAGAGGCAUUCAUAUAGAGUCAUAUCUUGUUCUAAGUAUCGAGUUGUAAUCUUGAGUUGUAAGUAAAUAAAAGUGUGAUGAUCUUCAUUAUUGGAGCAUUGUCCCAGUGAGGAAAGGAUGAUGGAAACUAUGAUUCCCCCACAAGUCGGGAUGAGACUUCGGACUUUAUAGAAAAAAAGAGAAAGGCCAAAAAAAGAGAAAGGCCAAAUAAAAAAAAUGAGAGAAAAAGAGAGAAGGGACAAUGCUACUAUCCUUUUUACCACACUUGUGAUUCAAAGUAGCACCAUAAUCUUCAUGAUAGAGAGUCUCCUAUGUUGCCACUUUCAUAUACUAGUGGAAAUUUUUCAUUAUAGAACUUGGCUUGUAUAUUCCAAUGAUGGGCUUCCUCAAAAUGCCCUAGGUCUUCGUGAGCAAGCGAGUUGGAUGCACACCCACUUAGUUUCUUUUGUUGAGCUUUCAUACAUUUAUAGCUCUAGCACAUCCGCUGCAUGGCAAUCCCUACUCACUCACAUUGAUAUCUAUUAAUGGGCAUCUCCAUAGCCCGUUGAUAUGCCUAGUUGAUGUGAGACUAUCUUCACCUCUUUUGUCUUCUCCACAACCACCAUUCUAUUCCACAUAUAGUGCUAUGCCCAUGGCUCAUGCUCAUGUAUUGCGUGAAAGUUGAAAAAGUUUGAGAUUACUAAAGUAUGAAACAAUUGCUUGGCUUGUCAUCGGGGUUGUGCAUGAUUAAAUACUUUGUGUGAUGAAGAUAGAGCAACAACCACACUGUAUGAUUUUAUAGGGAUAACUUUCUUUAGCCAUGAUAUUUUGAGAAGACAUGAUUGCUUUGAUUAGUAUGCUUGAAGUAUUACUAUUUCUUAUGUCAUUAUGAACUUUUGUUUGGAAUCAUUUGGAUCUGAACAUUCAUGCCACAAUAAAGAAAAUUACAUUGAGUAUUAUGCUAGGUAGCAUUCCACAUCAAAAAUUCUAUUUUUAUCAUUUACCUACUCGAGGACGAGCAGGAAUUAAGCUUGGGGAUGCUUGAUUUUAUUGUUCCAUGCUAUUAUAUUACCUGUUUUGGAUGUUUAUGGGCUUUACUUUUGUAACGCCCCGGUAGUUAAGCUACAGUAGCCACACAAUAAUGGUGCCAUAUUAUCGCAAUUAAAUUUCUAAACCUCACUUUCAUCCAAACCGAAUUCAAAUUCAAAUUGAAAACGAAGUCGAAUUAUUAUUUUUGCAAACGGUAAAACAAAAAUGUUCGCUGGGUUGCAAUAUUUCACUAACUAAUUUUCGUGAAUAAUCCAAUGUUAUGUGGGAUAUUAAGUUGCCCCUAAACUAUUUAAAACAGUGCCCAUAACAGCCUUUUUAAUCCAUUUGUAUUUAAGCAAAAUUCAAAUGAGUUUAGUUAAGCUCCAAACUUUUUAUGGCUUUCAGAAAUAUUACAUAGUAAUUGUAUGGCAAGUUUCAUAUAUAACAAAAAUCAUUUGAUGGCCCAACCUAAUACAAAAUAGGAUCUGAAAAUACAAAGAAAAGGGAAAAAAGUAAAACGAACCUAAACUAAGGUGCCACUGGGCCAUAAGUGGCCACACGGCCCAGCCGACCAAAACCUUCUCCUGCCUCCCACUACAGGAACAGAGGGUGUGCGUGGCACAUAUCCACGAUGGUCAUGGCCAUGGAUGCCCUCCACGUCGCCUCCCUGGGCUUAUAACUACGUCGAACAAAACACUAGCCCCCACCUCGUCUAGCCCCCCUGGAUCCCCCUUCGCCCCACUCCUCAUCUGCUCAUUUUCGAGCUCGAAAGCUCUGCGGUCACCAUUAUCUCGCCCUUGUUACCACGGCUACCGUCCUCGCCGUCCCUCAGGAGCACGUCCAGGAGGUCCACCAAGGCCGCCUUCGUCCGUUCCGGGCAUCGAUUCGAGCCGAGGCGCUGCGUAGCCGUCGUCAUCUUCAUCUUCUCCGCACGGCCGCCACCACCUCGUCGUCAUUGCCGCUGCUCCGAGACUCCCCCGACCUCCUAACCUCGUCGACAAGAACCGGGGUGAGCUCCUCCCUCGGAUCCCCUUUUCCCGUUCGAUUUGGGUGCCGUAGGCCGCCUACACCAUAGUGCCCGAUCUCGGGCGUACACGUACGUAUGAGCGUGCGUGUGGCUGUCGUUGCUGCCGCUGCCAUGUUGACCUGUUGCCGCUGCUGUACCGUGGCCCCACCGCGCCUGUCGUCGCCCGCAACCCCUGCCGCUUUGGCCGUGCCCGCCGGAGCCUGUCCGCGCCCGCCAGGGCCGCCGCCGCCCGGGGCCUCCCCCUGCUCCCCGCCCCCGGUCUCUAAUGGGCGAGGCGGCCGGCACCUUGUGCCCGCGCGAGCCCAGCCGGCCCCCUCUGUUGACUUGGAGGGGAUAACCCCAGUUAGUUUAGCGCUAACCUAUCCCCUACUGUCACUGCCAAAUGGGCCCUGCCCCAGUUAAUUUGUUAAACUAAUUCGGUGCUAAUUACCCCUAAAACAACCACUAACAUUGGGUCCCACCGCACUUAAUUAGUCCCUGGUUUGUAUUCAACUCUGAUUAGUAUAUCACCCAAUGACAUGUGGGGCCCCCGUGUACUGUUCAUUUGGAUAAGGUUCGCACAGUCAGCCAUUAACUUUGACUCUGGGCCCACUGCCAGCCUCACGUGCAAAAGUGUGGUUACACUUUCUGGUACCCAUAGCAUUUAGAUAUUAAAAUGAUUUCCGAAUUAAAGUAAAUCUAUAAUUUCAGAAAAUGUUUAAAUCUUUGUAAAUUCAUAUAAAAUAAACCGUAGCUCGGAUGGAAAAACUUUGUACAUGAAAGUUGCCCAGAACGACGAGACGAAUGCAGUUUCGCAGCCCGUUCGUCCGCCGCACGUCCCUAGCAUAGUGAACCUGCAACAUUUCACCUUCGGUUCAUUUGUCAAAAAACGUGAAACACCGGGGAUACUUUCCCGGAUGUUUGCCCCCUUCACCGGUAUCACCUCCUACUGCGUUAGGGCACACCUGGCACCGUUACUUGUUAUGUCAUGCAUCAUUAUGCAUUUGUUUGCAUUGUAUUCAUUGUUUCUUCCCCCUCUUCUCUCCGGUAGACUAGUGAGACCGAUGCUGCUGCUGCCCAGUUCGACUACGGAAUUGAUGACCCCUCCUUGCCAGAGCAACCAGGCAAGCCCCACCCCCCUUGAUCACCAGAUAUCGCCUAUUCUUCUCUCUACUGCUUGCAUUAGAGUAGUAUAGCAUGUUACUGUUUCGAUUGAUCCUAUUAUGUUGCAUAGCCUGUCAUUGUUGCUACAUUUGUUGAUACCUUACCCGCAAUCCUAUAUGCUUAGUAUAAGAUGCUAGUUUAUCAUCAUUGGCCCUACAUUCUUGUCAGUCUGCCUUGCUAUACUAUCGGGCCGUGAUCACUCGGGAGGUGAUCACGGGUAUAUACAAUACAUACCUACAUACUAUAGAGAUGGUGACUAAAGUCGGGUUGGCUCGUUGAGUACCCGCAAGUGAUUCCGAUGUGGGGGCUGAAAGGACAGGUGGCUCCAUCCCAGUAGAGGUGGGCCUGGGUUCCCGACGGCCCCCGACUGUUACUAUGUGGCGGAGCGACAGGGCAGGUUGAGACCACCUAGGAGAGAGGUGGGCCUGGCCCUUGUUAGCGUCCGCGGUUACUUCAAAAUAACACGCUUAACAAGAUCUUGGUAUUUGAUCUAAGUCUGGCCACUGGCCUAUACGCACUAACCAACUACGUGGGAAAGAUAUGGGCACUCGACGUCGUGGUAUCAGCCGAAGCCUUCGUGACGUCAGCGACUGAGCGGCGCACGCCUGAUUGGACCGUAAGCCUGCUCUUGUAUUAAGGGGGCUAGGUCUGCUUCCGGCCCCCCUCGCAACGUGCAGGUGUGCAAUGGGCGAUGGGCCCAGACCCCUGCGCGCAUAGGAUUUAGACCGGCGUGCUGACCUCUCUCUUGUGCCUAGGUGGGGCUACGACGUGUUGAUCUUCCGAGGCCGGGCAUGACCCAGGAAAGUGUGUCCGGCCAAAUGGGAUCGAGCGUGUUGGGUUAUGUGGUGCACCCCUGCAGGGAAGUUUAUCUAUUCAAAUAGUCGUGUCCCUCAGUAAAAGGACGACCCAGAGUUGUACCUUGACCUUAUGACAACUAGAACUGGAUACUUAAUAAAACACACCCAGACAACCCGGUGAUCGCUUUUCCACAGGGCGACGAGGGGAGGAUCGCCGGGUAGGAUUAUGCUAUGCGAUGCUACUUGGAGGACUUCAAUCUACUCUCUUCUACAUGCUGCAAGAUGUAGGCUGCCAGAAGCGCAGUCUUCGAUAGGACUAGCUACCCCCCUCUUAUUCUAGCAUUCUGCAGUUCAGUCCACUGAUAUUGCCUCCUUACACAUAUACCCAUGCAUAUGUAGUGUAGAUCCUUGCUUGCGAGUACUUUGGAUGAGUACUUACGGUUGCUUUCCUCCCCCUUUUCCCCCUUUUCCUCUUCUUCCUGGUUGUCGCAUCCAGAUGCUGGAACCCAGGAGCCAGACGCCACCGUCGACGACGACUUCUACUACACUGGAGGUGCCUACUACUACGUGCAGGCCGCUGACGACGACCAGGAGUAGUUAGGAGGAUCCUAGGCAGGAGGCCUGUGCCUCUUUCGAUCUGUAUCCCAGUUUGUGCUAGCCAUCUUAUGGCAACUUGUUUAACUUAUGUCUGUACUUAGAUAUUGUUGCUUCCGCUGACUCGUCUAUGAUCGAGCACUUGUAUUCGAGACCUCGAGGCCCCUGGCUUGUAAUAUGAUGCUUGUAUGACUUAUUUAUGUUUUUAGAGUUGUGUUGUGAUAUCUUCCCGUGAGUCCCUGAUCUUGAUCGUACACGUUUGUGUGCAUGAUUAGUGUACGGUUGAAUCGGGGGCGUCACAACUUUACACUUUUAUAUCAUUUUUGGGACCAACCUACUAACCGGAGGCCUAGCCCGAAUUGCUGUUUUUUCGCCUAUUUCAGUGUUUUGAAGAAAAGGAAUAUCAAACGGAGUCCAAACGGAAUGAAACCUUUGGGAGCGAUCUUUUUGGAACAAAAGUGAACCUGGAGACUUGGAGUGGAAGUCAAGCAACAAGCAAGGCGGCCACGAGGGUGCCGGCGCGCCCCCUCCAGGUGGGCAUGCCCCACACCCUUGUGGGCCCCUCGAGCGUCCACCGACCUACUUCUUCCUCCUAUAUAUACCCACAUACCCCGAGAACAUCAGAAGAGACCACGAAAACCUAAUUCCACCGCCACAACCUUCUUUAUCCGCGAGAUCCCAUCUUGGAGCCUUCCUCGGCACUCCGCUUGAGGGGGAAUCAACCAUAGAGGGCCUCUACAUCAUCUCCAAGGCCUCUCCUAUGAGUUGUGAGUAGUUUACCACGGACCUUCGGGUCCAUUGUUAUUAGCUAGAUGACUUCUUCUCUCUCUUUGAAUCUCAAUACAAAGUUCUCCUCGAUCUUCUUGGAGAUCUAUUUGAUGUAACUCUUUUUGCGGUGUGUUUGUCGAGAUUCGAUGAAUUGUGGGUUUAUGAUCAAGUUUAUCUAUGAGAAAUAUUUGAAUCUCCUCUGAAUUCUUUUAUGUGUGAUUAAGUUAUCUUUGCAAGUCUCUUUGAAUUAUCAGUUUGGUUUGGCCUACUAGAUUGAUCUUUCUUGCAAUGGGAGAAGUGCUUAGCUUUGGGUUCAAUCUUGCGGUGUCAUUUCCCAGUGACAGAAGGGGCAGCAAGACACAUAUUGUAUUGUUGCGAUCGAGGAUAAAAAGAUUGGUUUUAUAUCAUAUUGCAUGAGUUUAUCCCUCUACAUCAUGUCAUCUUUCUUAAUGCGUUACUCUCUUUUUUAUGAACUUAAUACUCUAGAUGCAUGCUGGAUAGCGGUCGAUGUGUGGAGUAAUAGUAGUAGAUGCAGGCAGGAGUCGGUCUACUUGUCACGGACGUGAUGCCUAUAUACAUGAUCAUGCCUAGAUAAUCUCAUAAUUAUUCGCUUUUCUAUCAAUUGCUCGACAGUAAUUUGUUCACCCACUGUAAUACUUAUGCUAUCUUGAGAGAAGCCACUAGUGAAACCUAUGGCCCUCGAGUCUAUCUUUUAUCAUAUAAGCUUUCCAUCUAAUUUUAUUUGCAUCUUUACUUUUCCAAUCUAUAUCAUAAAAAUACAAAAAUAUUUAUCUUAUCAUAUUUUCUCUAUUAGAUCUCACUUCCGCAAGUGGCCGUGAAGGGAUUGACAACCCCUUUAUUGUGUUGGUUGCAAGGUUCUUGUUUGUUUGUGUAGGUGCAUGGGACUUUUGAGGAGCCUCCUACUAGAUUGAUACCUUGGUUCUCAAAAACUGAGGGAAAUACUUAUGCUACUUUGCUGCAUCACCCUUUCCUCUUCAAGGAAAACCAACGCAAGCUCAAGACGUAGCAGUGCCCAUUCACAUCACAGUUAAAACAUUUUACUUUCGAGCUGUCAAACUUACGAUGCUUUUUCUGUUUGCCCUUUGCAUUGUUUUGGUCGCGAUCACCACGGCCUUUGUCCUGCCCGUCGCCUUGGUCGCCACUCUGGCCUCCACCUUUCUUCGCACCAGAGCCGGAGGCCCUGUUGUUGUUGACGAUCUUCUUCCCCUUCAUAAGGGUUUCCAGUGCGCGGGUCACGAGAAUCAGUUGCUCGUUGUUGUCGCCACGGCUCUGGCGGUGCCCCCGCUGGUUCUCCUCGAGCGCCGUGAGGCGUCCGACAGCUUCCUGCACCGUCAUCAUGGCGACAUCGCCCCAUUGCUCGAUGGUGUUGAUGAUUUCGGCGAAGCGAUCCGGCACGACGCUGAACAGGCGCUCAACCACGGCCUCUUCCCCAAGGGUGAUGCCGAGGGAGCGGAUUUCACUCACCAGCAUGGUGAGUUUCCUGGCAAAUUCCGGGAUAGUUUCCCCAUCCGCCAUGUCGAGGUGAUCAAACUGCCUCUUCAGUUGCCCCGCGCGCGCUUUCUUCACGCGAUCCUCCCCGAUGUGCGCAGAUCGGAUCAUCUCCCAUGCCUCUUGCAUGGUGUCGCAGUCAGCAACCUGCAGCAUAACAUGAUCCGGGACGGAUUGGGAGAGCGCCGCGAAGGCCCCCUCGUCCGCCGCUUGGUCGUACUCACCGGAGCCGUCAAUCGCCAACCAGACGCAGAGCGCCUUCAUCAGCACUUUCAUCUUGAUGGCCCACAGAUAGUAGUUCGUGUAUGUCAGCAUAGGGUACUGCACGGGCACAUUGGUGGCUCUCGACGAAGCAGCCAGCACCACGGCACCGUCACCGUCGCCUGUGGUCGACCUCCUGGCCUCCGGCGGUGUGUACUUUCCGCCACCGCUGCCGUUGCUCUUCCCGUCGCUUUUCUUAGGAGACGUAUCCCCCAUCGCUGCCGCCAAAGCUCCUCCGAUCACCACCGCCAAACGCCCAAGGUCCUAAAACUAAAUCUCUGUAUACCAAUUAUUGGAUUUCUAGCAGUUAUCUACUCUCUCUCUCUCUCUCUGAAUUUCAUUCUCUGAAGAACACAACACACGCACACGAGGUGAAAGGGAACAGAGAAGGAAUGCAACCACACAAAGAGAGGUUUUUGCGACGCGUAAACCGUGCGUCUUUUCUGUUCUUCCUUUUAUUCAGUUGCUUAAUAGAAAAACGGAAAACUCGCCACGAUCCAGUAUAUGCGUGCGCCAUCCCACGAACCUGGAUCGUGCCAAGUCUAGAGCUACCAGCUAGGCCUGAAAACUAGGAACUGAAACUACACCGCAACCAGUACGUAGCACGUUUCUGGUGGGCAAAUUCAGCCGUGCUUAUUAUGUGACAGAAAGACAAAAAUAAGCUAAGGGAAACGGGGCAGAUACAUUGAGAUUACAUCCAAUAGACUAGGCACGACCAUCGCCAUGGCUGGUCGCGGGACAUUUCUGCAGGAUUUCAACUGUGAACGAAAGCGAGGCUCUCUUGCGCAUGGGUAGGUCCCCAUCCAUUAUGGUAGAGAAAGAGAAUAAGAGAUGCCACAUAUCAGUAAGAUUUAGUUUGACAAUCCUUUUGUGAAGUUACAUCUCAUUGUCUACACUGCAGUUUAGGCUCACGACUGCGACAACUGAGAUUAGUAGGAUGCACAUAGCAGCAGGUCAUAUGCCCGUAGGCUCUUGUAGUACAGUUUUUCCUGCAUAGUGGAGUACUUCUACAGCUGUAGGUUUCCACUUGUCCCUACAUUCUGUAGAAGCCAAAGAACCGAACUGCGCCAUGGUACUAGGAUUGUUUGGAAUCGGUCCAGAAUAGUGCGUGAACAGUUAAUAUUUUUACAGACCUCAAAUUUAUCUUUUUUGCUGAGAGCUGCUCAGAUCUCCAAAUGAUUUGAAAAUUAAAGCGAACCUCACGCAUCAAAUUAUCUAACACCCAUUUUUUUUUGUUUUCUUAGUAUUUAUUUUGAUUUUUUUCGUCAGGGCAGGUGCAGCUAAGCCUGGGCUCAGAAGUGGAUUACCGCAUUUGUAGAGUCUACUAUAAAAAAACUGAUGUGUUAUUUUCUUAGGAAAAAAUCCCAAAUAUUGUAUGUUAUAAAGGUACGUUGGAAGCACAAAGUACACUAAACAUAAUGCAAAUUAUAUCCAAGGCCCCGUAAGUACCACACGAUCAUUAUUACCAUCAAAUGGUACCAUCUACGCGUCAUUGUCGGUGCUUCUUGGUCGGAGUCGGUCUGGCCUUGUAGUUAACAACCAGAAAUUCUGUCCAUGUGGCCUAAGGACUAGCGACACAGAGCCGUAUGCGGCGACAUAGACAAGGAUAUAACUUGCCAAUGCCUGAUGUGUUAUUUGCUUGGUUAUAACUUAGUCAAUGACAUUUUAAGAACUCCAGUUUAUUUUCCUAUGAACAUUAACUAACUCUUAGACAAUCAAAAUUUUCACCGAAAUUUUGGUAGCCAAAUAGUUGGUAGGGUAAACUUUACGAUAAACAUACAAGCUUCCAAUUGAUACAAACUCUUUAUGGAUGUUGAAAUGUACCACAACAAUUAUGCUUACUCUUUUUCUUAACUCGUCGAGGCCUGGUCUCCAUCCUAGCUACAUCAUCUGCAGCUUCGGUUAAGUAAGGCAUAAGAAAAUGGUGCGUCGAAGGAGCGAGAAGAGUGGAACUAAAGGCAAAAUGGUUUGUUCGGUUUGAUGGAGAUGUGUGUGUGGGGGNNNNNNNNNNNNNNNNNNNNNNNNNNNNNNNNNNNNNNNNNNNNNNNNNNNNNNNNNNNNNNNNNNNNNNNNNNNNNNNNNNNNNNNNNNNNNNNNNNNNNNNNNNNNNNNNNNNNNNNNNNNNNNNNNNNNNNNNNNNNNNNNNNNNNNAGCCCCCCCACUCCCCCAAAUUUGUUAGGGAGGAAUCAACCAAAUAAGUACUAAAAGGGAUUAUUCAAUUUGACCAAGUGAUAAAAGGAAGUUUUUCUCACUAAACCUAGCCUCUAUUUUUGUCUGAAUAAAAAAGGGUAGUGUAAGUUGUAUUAUAGUUUAAAAAGAAUUGUUUAUUACAAAUUUGCUCGACUAAGUAAAUUUUGGUUCAAAAGACAUGCUAUAAUGUUAAAAAAACUUGAGUUGGCUAGGCCAUUUGGUUCAAAAUACAUGUUUUCAUUCUGUUAAUUAAAUUUUGGCCUUUGCCCAUUAUGCAAACAUGUGCCAUAGAAAUCAGACCAUCACCUUUAUCAGUGUGGUUUCAUGGUCAGAGUUUGGGGUGAAGUCGAGGCGUGGCCAGGUCUCCAAGACAUCUAUCCUUCCUAGUGGGGCGCGACAGUUUUGGUCAAAGAGUGGCGGAUCGAGACCCUUCACAAGAAGGCUCAAUCUAGAAAAGCCCUCUUAUCCAUAUGAUGCUUAUUGCUUGGGAGAUUUGGAAGAAGCUUAAUGCGAGGUUUAUCGCAACCUCUUCGUCACCACAGGUGUCAUCUUCCCCAAAAUCUUGGAGGAAACAUCACCAUGGGCCUUGUAAAGUAUUUAACUAAUGUAAUGUCAUGAGAGUAAUUGCUUUAUUUCCUUACUUUAUGGGCUUUGUCUAAAAGAACUUCUCUCUUAAUCUAUUUAAAUGAUAAGUCAUGUUUCAAAAAAAUAGUAGGUCAUGUGAGACCAAACCAAUCAAUUCAUAAUAUAACUAUAAAGAGGGUUUCAUGAAAUAACACAGUGCAAUAAUAAACACGAUAUAACAACUACUUUUGUAGGGUGCGGUACAAAAAAACGCCGGAGUGGAUCAAAAUGGGAGCAGGCAAGGAAGCCAUUGCUGGCUAACGGAUUCUAAAAUCAUUUGGGACUAUUUUGGAAGAGCCCUGACAUUGCCAGAUCAAUUUAUGCUUAUCUUAUCAGAGCAAUCAAAUUGGUGUUGAGUCUUAGGGAGACUAGUAUUACUCACAUUCGUAGACCCCAAAAUAAAGUUAGUGAUUGUUUGGCUUCCUUUGCCAGAGAGGAAGGCAGAACUAUGACCUGGGUAGGAUCUGGUCCUCCGAGAGCUGUAGAACUUGUUGUAUCAUAUUGUAACACUCAUGGGGUUUGAGUGUAAACAAGUUUCAGUUCGCAAAAAAAGGAAAACAGUGCUUAAUCUGGCGCUAAUAAUGUGGGAACAUUCGCUCUAGGAGAUACUCGGUGUGUUUCAUGUAUUCAUGCAUUCAAGGAUGAUGCGGUCAAUGACAUCGACACUUUAAAUGAUACUUUUCAAACUUUAAUAUUUUCUGCCCUUACACCAUGUAUCUAAUUUAUAUUGGUCUUCACUACCAGCUUUGUCUCAAUGAGAGCUUUGAUACCAUAUCUCACGUGUGUUCGUUCCAACAGAAAAAUCAUCUUAAAAGUUGCCACCAAAGCAUUAACAAAUUUGCCAUGAUAUUGAUAAAUUUGUCACCCGAUAACUUUAAUGCAAACAUUGUGACAACUUUCACACCAAUACAAUGACAACUUUGUUUUUUGUUAGGUGGCAACAAAUCCAUUUUAAAAUUUACCACCUAGUAAGUAAUGAAGUUGUCAUUUUCUUGAUACCAAAUUGUCACCUCCAUAACUUUUUUAUUUUGAACUACCCCUCCCCACCCAUAUAUUGAUUAAGAAUAAUGUUCUUACUAUCAUCCAUUACAAAAAUUAGCCAUGCAACGUGCAACACUACUCACCAGAUGACCAUCAGAGCACGCAUCAAAGCAAAACUUCACAAUUUCAUGAGCCACUAUAUCAGAGCAUCUACAAAUCGGAAGUACCAAAUGUGAGGCCCUAUACACCCGCGGACGCGUCCGCGGACACUGAGGACAUGACUCCAUAUACCUGCAUCCAAAACCACACCCCCCAUAUCUCAAUACUCAAAUCUAUGCAAAGUCAUCAUACUUUCAGCACUACAAAAAUAGUGUAGCCCAAAUAAAUUUAGUACAAGCUACAAUAAAAUUCAAUAGUCCAUACAUAGAUAAGAAAUACACUAAUGAAUCAACGACUUCAGUCAUCACGUUCAUUCAUCCUCUUAUUCAAGCGGAGCAACCACUUAUUAUCUUCUUCAUACAAGAGAUUGAUGUCCUACAACAUGAUCCUCGACUCCUCCGCCUCUCUUGCAAGCCACAACUUCCAUUUCUUCAAGCCGCAACUUCUAUUGUCACCCUUUCUUCAAGCUCCCAUUUUCCAACCUUAUUUUGUCUCUCCAUUUCAACUUUAUUCUUCUCCAAGAUCAAUCUCUCCCAGUAGAACUCCAUCAUCUCCCUUCGCACAUCGAUGAACAUCUUGUACCUUUUCCUCCUUGUUUACCUCCUUUGCCGAGAAAUGCCCAUCCAAGUGGUGGACAGUUUGCUUACUACUCCUUCAUGCGCCACCCUAUCCUUCUCCCACUUGUUCCACAUCACUUGCCAGUUUCUCUUAGGCAUCAUUGCUUGCAUGUCCGCCCCUCAUUUUCUUCCUUUUCCUCAUAUAAUCCAAUUGAUUGAGCGGAGCAAGACCCAUCAUUUGUCUUCAUCUUAUUCGUGCCAUUUUAGAUAUCCUUGAGCAUGGUUUGACACGUGGGUUUCCCAUUAAUUUCAUCGAAUAAUGUGAAAAGGUGAAUGUCUUCUUCUCGACUUGAUGGACAAUGUCAUUGCCAAAGUUGCAUGGGCUUGACUUCGAUGCCCGUUGGUUCUAGCUAACAACUUCUUUAAGAUAACCAACAGAUUUGCUCACGACCUCCUGUAUGAGUGACCAUCUAUGUUGGAGAGAGCAUGGACACGAUUCAUAAUGAUUGGGUGUGGAUUAACAUAAUGUUUUUGCUCAUGGCAAAGUUUGUGAUCCCCCUGAUGAUGAUAUAGACCUAAGGGUAGGGUCAUAGGCUUGAUCUAUACACCCUACCCAAGGUCACUACCCUAGAAGCUUAAGAGACAACAACGAGUGCCCAAUGAAGGCAUCGAGUGCAAUCCACUCGACCAAUCAAUCACUCGGGUACCCCUCCUUCCUGAUGUCACACGACCAAUCGAUCACUCAACCAUACAAGAAACCACUCGACCUACUGAAGACCAGGAGUCACUCAGAACUGCAACGGUCAGGCGUUCACUCUGUAGUCUUUAAGAUCAUUAAAAGUACUUUAUGGCUGGCGUCACCAGUAACGCCCCAUCUUUAUGUACAUUGAACUCUUUGUAACGGGGGAUGGUCGGGGUCUCAGCGCACUCUAUAUAAGCCACCCCCCUCCUCUGGCACAAGGGUUCGCACCCCGUGUGACACACACUCUCAUAAUCCAGUCGACCACCUCAGGGCACCGAGACGUAGGGCAUUUACCUCCUCCGGGAGGGGCAUGAACUUGUAAACACUUGCGUACAAUCUUACCGUAGCUAGGACCUCGCCUCCUCAUUUGUACCCCCUCUACUCACUGUCAGACUUAGAACCACGACAGUUGGCGCCCACCGUGGGGCAAAGCGUCUUGGCGACUUCCGGCGAGGUUGCAUUUUCUUCGAUCUUCAUCAGCAUGGUUUCCGGCGGCGGUUUGGUCGUGGGCCGCGAGUUCCGACUCGGCGCGCUCACUUUCAACGCCGACGACUCUGCCUGGCUCCAGGAGGCCUCCCUCGAUGUCGAGGCUCUCACAACUCGUGGCUCGUCGCACUUCUGCGCGAGUUCCUGCGGCGUCCUUCUUCGGCAGCCGUCAUCCCCGUACCAAUCGGUCAUCGGGUCGUCAUCACACUCUGCUGGACACCGCCGCAAGUGGUCUAGGCGUUCGCGACUCCAGCGGUGGGUGAGACACGCGGUGGCUCGUCAGGCGUUCACCCAUCAAGUCGCGGCGAUCGAGCCCGACGUAUUUCCCUGCGGAUCGGUUGACUUGUCGACUGAUUUUGCAGAUACCUUUUCCGAGAGCGGGAGUUGUGACCCCGCGGCGGAGGUCCUCAUGGUCGACUCCCAUCGCGGUCCACCUGGUUUUCAUCAUAGCGGUGAUGGUGGUAGAAGCGAUGGCCCGUCACUCGAACAUGAAGAAUAUCAGCCCCAACCUCUUAGAUCGCAGCAGAGGGAGGAGCUGCAUCACUGCAACGUGGAGGCUCUCCAGACCCCCAUCAUAGGGGAAACCGCCGAGGCCCGGGCCUUGGAGGCGGUGUGCCUGGCCACUCUAGUUGAGCGCACUCGUUUGGAGAAUCUCCAACAUUCUCUCGAUGAGCCCGAGUCCAGUCGACGUCCACGGCAAUUGUCUCCACUGGAAACUCAGGUAUUCCGCACACCGAUUCAGAAUCUUGCUGCCACUACGCGUAUUGCGGAGUCCAUUCAGCCGUCUCGUUCAGAGGCUGGAAGAGGCUUGGAACAGAUCAAAACACUGCUCCGAGCGGCAGGAGACCAGAACUCUGUUGUGUCCCAGUCGCGGAACAUAAUCCACAGCAGAUCAAUAAGAGCAGACAUUGUUCAGUUGGCACACAGUCCUAGGUCGCCUUUGCGGCAUGGAGGUCGUGAUCACCACCAGCAUCGGCACCUGGGAAGAGCUCAUGGAGAAUAUGAUCAUGAGUACGCCGCGACAACCACCGUCGAGCGCCUUCGCCCCUUCCGAGGGACGGGUCAUACGCGCCCCGGCGAUAUGAUGACAGGCGUCCGUAUGGGAAUGACCGCAGGGUUCCAGUCGACCCCGGAGAGCCCGGCUUCGAUGCAAGGUCCAUCCUUGUGCAGGGUUUGGUCGACCGGAACAGAGCAUACAGAGAAAGGCUGGAUUGAGACAAACCCAGUGGAAGCAGAGUCCACGUUUCCGGGCCAGAGUGUUUCGGAAGAGCCAUCAGAGCCACUGAGAUUCCUCAUAACUUCAGACUGGCGACUGGCGUCAGUAAGUUCACAGGUGAGUCGAAGCCCGAUACUUGGCUUGAAGACUACCGAGUGGCUGUGCACAUCGGUGGUGGCAGCGAUGAGGUGGCCAUGAAGCACCUUCCUCUGAUGCUUGAAGGUUCUGCCAGAGCUUGGCGGAAUCAGUUGGCCCCUGGGAGCAUUUUGAGUUGGGAUGAGUUAGCCCGAGUGUUCACCAGAACGUUUGAGGGAACCUACAAGAGACCUGCUGGUCUACCAGAGUUGCAGCAUUGCAUGCAGAAACCGAAUGAAACCCUGAGAGACUAUAUCCAAAGAUGGAUCACUCUGCACCACACACUGGAGAAUGUGUCAGAUCACCAAGCCGUCUGCACCUUCAAAGAAGGCGUUCGCUACAGAGAGCUCAAUCUGAAGUUCGGUUGGACUGGAGAUAUGUCUUUGACUCGGAUGAUGGAGAUUUCCACCAAGUACGCUAACGGCAAAGAGGAAGACCGACUCAGGAGUGGCAAGCACAAAACAUUCGCCCAGGACACCGGAGGAGGAAAUUCCAGUCGGAAGCAGAAGUGAAAGGCUGAGGUAGCAGGUCCUGCCGAGGCAGCAGUGUUGAAUCAAGGAAAGUUCAAAGGGAAACCAAAAGGGCCUUGGAUCCCUAAGAAAGUGAAAGACCAUAAGGAAACGAUGUGAUGGAUUUGCCGUGUCAUAUUCACACUAAGAAGGAUGAGGAGGGGAACCUGAUUCUCCCCAAGCAUACCACUCGACAAUGUCGACUCCUAAUCCAGAACUUCCGGGAGAGUAAACCCAGUGAUAAGGACAAAGAAUCCGAGAAGGAAGAAGAAGAUAAGGAUGAUGAUGAUGGUUAUCCCAAUGUCAAUGCCACCUUGUUGAUUUUUGCCGAUAUUGAGAGCAAAAGUCGACUGAAGGUCAUUAACAGAGAGGUGAAUAUCGUUGCUUCGGCAACACCAAAGUAUUUGAAGUGGUCAAAACCCCCCAUUACAUUCGACCAGUCCGACCACCCGGCACGCGUAGCUACCCUUGGGCAGCAAGCGCUAGUGGUCGACCCAGUCAUGGGAGGCACCCGACUGACCAAGGUUCUGAUGGAUGGUGGCAGUGGCCUGAAUAUUCUGUAUGCUGAAGCCCUCAAAGGAAUGGGCAUUCCGAUGUCCAAAAUCAGCAAGAGCAACAUGUGGUUCCAUGGAAUCAUCCUAGGAAAGACAGCUGAAUCACUCAUCCAGAUCACUCUUGACGUGGUUUUCGGCGAUGAGAAGAAUUUCCGCAAGGAGAAGUCAAUGUUUGAGGUUGUGGAUUUCCAGAGUGCCUAUCAUGCCAUUCUGGGCAGACCUGCUUAUGCUAGCUUUAUGGAUCGACUGUGUUAUGUAUAUGUCAAGAUGAAGAUGCCUGGCCCCAGAGGCGUGAUAACGGUUUCCGGUAACCGUCAAAGAGCAGAAGACUAUCUUCAGGACGGUGCAAAGAUAAUAGAUGAGCAGACGGCAGCAGUAGAGUUUCAAGAGUACCAAAAAACUGCAGAUCCGACUGCGUGCUAAGAGGCCUGCCUCGGAGUCCGCAUUUCAUUAGGCCGGCGAGACCAAGCCAGUCCAUGUUCACCCGACCGGCCCCAAUGCUGCUCCGACCCAUAUCUCAACAACCCUUGACAGCAAGUAGGAAGAAGCGCUCGUCCAGUUCCUCUGUGAGAACUGGGACAUCUUUGCAUGGAAGCCAUCUGACAUGCCAAGUGUACCCAGGGAGCUGGCUGAGAACCGUUUGUGAGUCGACCCAAAAGUAAAACCCGUUAAGGAGUGUCUCUGUCGGUCCACCAUGGAGAAGAGAAAAGCCAUUGGCGAGGAGGUGGCUCGGCUCCUGGCUGCUGAGUUCAUCCGCGAGAUAUACCAUUCCGAGUGGCCCGCCAAUGUUGUUAUGGUUCCCAAGAAAGACAAAUCACUCCGAAUGUGUAUUGACUUCAAGCACAUCAAUCGGGCUUGCCCGAAAGAUCAUUUUCCUCUGCCCCGCAUCGACCAAAUAGUCGACUCAACUGUGGGAUGUGAGCGACUGUCCUUCCUAGAAGCUUAUUCCGGGUACCAUCAGAUCCGACUGUAUGGACCCGAUGAGAUAAAGACGGCUUUCAUCACCCCGUUCAGGUGUUUUUGCUAUGUUACUAUGCCCUUUGGCCUCAAGAAUGUUGGCGCCACAUUCAUGCGCAUGAUUCAGAAGUGCCUGCUCACUCAAAUCAGUCGGAAUGUGGAAGCAUACAUGGAUGACAUAGUGGUUAAGUCACGCAAAGGUUCCAACCUGCCGGCUGACCUUGCUGAAACCUUUGCCAACCUAAGGAGGUAUGAUAUCAAGCUCAAUCCAUCAAAAUGCACAUUCGGAGUCCCAGGCAGAAAGUUAGUCGGUUUUCUCGUUUCCAAACGAGGGAUCGACACAAAUCCAGAGAAGAUUGGCACAAUCCUCCGAAUGAAAUGCCCAGUGCAUGUGCAUGAUGUUCAGAAGCUUACUGUUUGUUUGGCUGCAUUGAGCCGAUUCAUCUCACUGUUGGAAAUAUGCCCUAGAGGCAAUAAUAAAAGGGUUAUUAUUAUAUUUCCUUGUUCAUGAUAAUUGUCUUUUAUUCAUGCUAUAACUGUAUUAUCCGGAAAUCGUAAUACAUGUGUGAAUACAUAGACCACAAUACGUCCCUAGUAAGCCUCUAGUUGACUAGCUCGUUGGUCAACAGAUAGUCAUGGUUUCCUGACUAUGGACAUUAGAUGUCGUUGACAAUGGGAUCACAUCAUUAGAAGAAUGAUGUGAUGGACAAGACCCAAUCCUAAGCAUAGCACAAGAUCGUGUAGUUCGUUUUGCUAGAGCUUUUUCCAAUGUCAAGUAUCUCUUCCUUAGACCAUGAGAUCGUGUAACUCCCGGAUACCGUAGGAGUGCUUUGGGUGUACCAAACGUCACAACGUAACUGGGUGACUAUAAAGGUGCACUACAGGUAUCUCCGAAAGUGUCUGUUGGGUUGACACGGAUCGAGACUGGGAUUUGUCACUCCGUAUGACGGAGAGGUAUCUCUGGGCCCACUCAGUAAUGCAUCAUCAUAAUGAGCUCAAAGUGACCAAGUGCUUGGUCAUGGGAUCAUGCAUUACGGUACGAGUAAAGUGACUUGCUGGUAACGAGACUGAACGAGGUAUUGGGAUACCGACGAUCGAGUCUCGGGCAAGUAACAUACCGUCUGACAAAGGGAAUUGCAUACAGGGUUGCUUGAAUCCUCGACAUCGUGGUUCAUCCGAUGACAUCAUCGAGGAGCAUGUGGGAGCCAACAUGGGUAUCCAGAUCCCGCUGUUGGUUAUUGACCUGAGAGCCGUCUCGGUCAUGUCUGCGUGUCUCCCGAACCCGUAGGGUCUACACACUUAAGGUUCGGUGACGCUAGGGUUAUUAGGAAGACUUGUAUGUGAUUACCGAAAGUUGUUCGGAGUCCCGGAUGAGAUCCCGGACGUCACGAGGAGCUCCGGAAUGGUCCGGAGGUGAAGAUUUAUAUAUGGGAAGUUGUCAUGCGAACAACGGAAAGUGUCAGGGGCAUAUCGGUAUUGUACCGGGGCCACCGGAGGGGUUCCGGGGGUCCACCGGGAGGGGCCACCCCUCUUGGUGGGCCACAUGGGUCGCGUGGGGCAGGGAACCAGCCCCUGGAGGGCUGGGCGCCCCCCCCCUUGGGCCCAUGCGCCUAGGGUUGGGGGGGAACCCUAGAGGGGGCGCCCCCUUUGCUUGGGGGGCAAGUCCCCCCUCCCUGGCCGCUGCCCCCCUCUAGAUCCCAUCUAGAGGGGCCGGCCCCCCUUGCCCCUUCCCCUAUAAAUAGAGGGGUGAGGGGAGGGCUUCAACACACAACCCAAGGCGCAGCCCCUCCCCUCCCCAACACCUCUCCUCCUCCGUCACGAGCUUGGCGAAGCCCUGCCGGAGUGCUGCUUCUCCACCAACACCACACCGUCGUGCUGCCGCUGGAGCUGUCUUCCUCAACCUCUCCUUCCUCCUUGCUGGAUCAAGACGGAGGAGACUUCGUCCGUACCGUACGUGUGUUGAACGCGGAGGUGCUGUCCGUUCGGCACUUGGUCAUCGGUGAUCUGAAUCACGGUGAGUACGACUCCAUCAUCACCCUUCCCUUGAACGCUUCCGCACGCGAUCUACAAGUGGUAUGUAGAUGCAAUCUCUCUCUCAUGACUCGUUGCUUAGAUGAACUCAUAGAUGGAUCUUGGUGAAACCGUAGGAAAAUUUUUAAUUUUCUUCAACGUUCCCCAACACUCACGCCUCAGCGAAAAGGCACUGUCUCUUUACCGACUGAUGAAGAAGUCAGACAAGUUCGAGUGGAAUGACAAAGCUGAAGCAACAUUUGAAGAGCUCAAAGCCCUGCUUUCCACCAGCCGGUGCUUGCUGCUCUGGUUAGCAAGGAGCCUCUAUUGCUUUACAUCACAGAGACGGGACAAGUUGUCAGCACAGUGCUCACAGCCGAGCGUAAAGAGAAGGCAAGGCCUUCAAAGUUCAACGUCCUGUGUAUUACAUUUCAGAAGUUUUAACCCCAUCCAAGCAGAGAUAUCCUCACUAUCAGAAGCUUGUUUAUGGGAUUAACCUGACCAUGAAGAAGGUUGCACACUAUUUCUCUGAUCACUCAAUUUCAGUCGUCAGCAUUGCUCCAUUGUUAGAGAUUCUGAAUAACAGAGAUGCAACUGGUCGAGUGACAAAGUGGGCGAUUGAACUUCUUCAUUCAGAUAUCAAAUUUGAGGCAAAGAAGGCCAUAAAGUCUCAAGCAAUUGCAAAUUUCCUCGCAGAGUGGACAGAACGACAACAACCGACUCAAAUUCAGUCGGAACAUUGGACCAUGUUCUUUGAUGGAUCCAAGAUGUUAAAUGGCUCUGGCGCAGGAGUGGUCUUAGUGUCCCCAUUAGGAGACAAACUCAGCUAUGUCCUCCAGAUUCAAUUUGAUUCUUCGAACAAUGAAGCUAAGUAUGAGGCACUAUUGUAUGGGUUGCAUAUGGCCAUUUCACUCGGCGUCCGGCGCUUGAUGGUUUAUGGCGACUCAAACUUAGUGGUUAACCAAGUAAUGAAGGAAUGGGAUGUCAGGAGUCCUGCAAUAACAGGUUAUUGCAAUCCAGUGAGAAAGCUAGAGAAGAAGUUUGAGGGGUUAGAGCUCCACCACAUACCACGAAUCAAGAAUCAAGCUGCUGAUGAUCUAGCGAAGAUAGGUUCCACUCGGAAGCCUAUCCCCAGCAAUGUGUUCUUGGAGCAUCUCCAUACCCCGUCAGUACAAGAAGAUCCCGUCAAGGAAGAGCCCCGGCAACCGAUAAGUGCAACCAACCCGAGUGAGAUCGAGGUUCCGGCCGUGGUCGUCCUGAUCAUGGAAGUCUUGGUGGUCACACCAUAUUGGAUAGUACCGUACAUAUCGUACAUUCUCAGAAAGGAGCUCCAAGAGGAUGAAGAUGAGGCUCGCUAUAUAGUCCGUCGAUCGGAAGUUUUCACCGUGAUGAAAGGGCAGCUUUACAGAGAAAGUGUCACAGGAGUGGUUCAACGCUGCAUCACCCCGGAAGAAGGCCGAAUGAUCCUAAACAAUAUCCACUCGGGGACCUGUGGUCACCAUGCGUCCUCUCGGACUAUCGUGGCCGAAGCAUACCAAGCGAGAUUCUAUUGGCCUCGAGCAAAUGAGAUGGCGAAAGAUAUAGUUGACAAGUGCGCAGGUUGCCGGUUCUACUCCAACAUGUCCCACAAGCCUGCAUGUGCCCUGAAGACUAUUCCACUUGUCUGGCCGUUUGCAGUCUGGGGAUUGGAUAUGGUUGGGCCUUUCAAGACCGGCAUGAGUGCUUUCACCCAUUUACUUGUAGCAGUCGACUAAUUCACCAAGUGGAUCAAAGCCAAGCCCAUCAAAAACCUCAGAGCAGGCACUGCCAUCAGUUUCAUCAAGGAGUUGAUAUUCACAUAUGGGGUUCCUCACAGCAUUAUCACAGAUAAUGGCUCCAAGUUUGAUUCUGAUGAGUUCAAGGCGUUCUGUGCAUCCCAUGGCACUCGGGUUAACUAUGCGUCUGUCGCACACCCGCAGUCAAAUGGACAGGCAAAAAGGGUGAAUGGUGAUCCUUCAAGUGUUAAAGCCUCGACUAAUGCCCGACCUUAAGCAUGCUGCUGGAGCUUGGGUGGCCAAAUUGCCGUCGGUCCUAUGGGGGCUGAGAACGACGCCCAACCGAUCGACUGAUCAAACCCCUUUCUUCCUGGUGUACGGGGCUGAGGUUGUCUGCACAACGCUCCCCGAGUGGAACUAUUCUCAGAAGCUGAAGCAGAGCAAGCACGCGAAGACGCAGUUGAUCUCCGGGAGGAAGAGCGUGAGAUGGCUUUGGUUCGAUUGACCAUCUAUCAGCAAGAUCUGCGUCGAUUCCACGCUUGCAAUGUUAGAUGUCGAGCAUUUCGGGAAGGAGACCUUGUGCUCCGAGUGGUUCAGAAACGACCCCACAAGCUCGCCCCGGCCUGGGAAGGUCCCUUCAUCAUCACCAAGGUGCUUCAUAAUGGAGCGUACCACAUCUACAAUGUAGCCAAGAAAAUGGACGAGCCACGCGCAUGGAACGCAGAGAUGCUUCGUCCUUUCUAUACCUAAAAUCACUCGACCCAACGAGUUGUAAUGAAAGCACUUCAGUUUGUUUUCCAAAGGCAAGAUUUUUACAGUUCUUAAUGACUGGUUCCUAGUAAUCACUGGUGUCCAAAUCCCCCAGUGGGUGGCUUAGCCGCGAAUCUAAUUCGCCUAAGUUAAAAAACACUCCGAGUGGAGAGCAAUCGUCCCACUCGGGGGAUUAGCUGCGACCCUGAAAUCGCCCAAGUUAAAAACGCUCCGAGUGGAGAGCAAUCCUCCCACUCGGGGGCUUAGCUGCGACCCCAAAACUGCCUAAGUUAAAAAACAUUCCGAGUGGAGAGCAAUCCUCCCACUUAGGGGCUUAGCUGCGACCCUGAAAUCGCCUAAGUUAAAAACACUCUGAGUGGAGAGCAAUCCUCCCACUCAGGGGCUUAGCUGUGACCCCGAAAUCGCCUAAGUUAAAAAACACUCCGAGUGGAGAGCAAUCCUCCCACUCGGGGGCUUAGCUGUGACCCUGAAAUCGCCUAAGUUAAUAACACUCCGAGUAGAGAGCAAUCCUCCCACUCUGGGGUUUAACUGCGACCCCGAAAUCACCUAAGUUAAAAAACACUCCGAGUGGAGAGCAAUCCUCCAACUCGGGGGCUUAGCUGCGAUCCCGAAAUCGCCUAAGUUAAAAACAUUCCGAGUGGAGAGCAAUCAUGCCACUCGGAGGCUUAGCCGCGACCCCGAAAUUGCCUAAGUUAAAAAACAUUCCGAGUGGAGAGCAAUCCUCCCACUCAGGGACUUAGCUGCGACCCCCGAAAUCGCCUAGGUCACAAAUAUCAUUUGAGCUACACCACAAAUACAACGUAUGCUCCAUCCUUAUCCGCAAGGACAACGAGGUGUUGAUUGAACACCACGUCUGAUCUACGCCACAAAUACAAUGUACGCUCCAUCCUUAUCCACAAGGACGACGAGGUGUAGAUUGAACACCAUGUCUGAGCUACGCCAUAAAUACAACAUUCGCUCCAUCCUUGUCCGCAAGGACGACGAGGUGUCGAUUGAACACCACGUCUGAGCUCCGCCACAAAUACAAUGUACGCUCCAUCCCUAUCUGCAAGGAUGACAAGGUGUCGAUUGAACACCAUGUCUGAGCUGUGUCACAAGUACAAUGUACCUUCCCGAUCUGCAAGGACGACGAGGUGUCGAUUGAACACCGCGUCUGAGCUGCAUCACAAGUACAAUGUAAUAUCCUGAUCCGCAAGGACGACAAGGUGUUGACUGAACACCAUGUCUGAGCUGCGUCACAGGUACAAUGUACACUUCUCUCGACAAAAGGCAGUCAAAAACAGUUCAAAACCGAUACAAAAGCCAUGAUAUUCAAGGAAAUUCAAGUUCAGAUAAAUCCUGCAAAGUUCAGGACCACAGCGGCCAGAAGUGCUCAAGCUUCAAGCCUGAAAGAGGUGAACGCUUACAUAAUCACUCGACAUUCCGAGGCAAAUAAAAGUGGGGCACAAUGUUUUGUUCACUCGUCAGGAGAAGGACUUGCUGGAUCGCAGAAACUAUCAAGGUCGAUGCUGUCUGCAAUGUGAGUGGCGGCAUCAAGGAAAGUGUCCACAAAGGACUGGAAACUGUGCUUUUUGGUGUUCACAACCUUGAGGGCCGCCAGCUUGUCUUCACUGACAUCCUUGCAGUGCACUGGACCAAUGACAGCGCGAUGUUGGUGCCACAACGAGCAGAUGAUUUCUUCCAUUCUUGCAAUUGGUCAGGUAUCUGGUUCAGUCGAGUCAUUAGAGACUCGAGAUCCCGUGAGAGUUCCGCCUGGGGCCAGAGUUCGGCGUCAACCCGCGACAUUGCCAUCUUCAGCCUGGCAAGAUAACCAACAACACUGUCCAUGCGUGACUGCAACCGCAACACAUUCAUUGCAAUGUCAUCUUUGACAGGACAAUUUAUGGGGUCGAGACCCAUCUCGACCCGCCCGGUUUCUGCUUCAAAGUCUUGACAAAGUUCUACACAUUCCGAAAAACAGAUAGUCGACAGUUUAACAAUACAUGUCAGUCCACGUCAACAAAUCAGUCAAACAAGAAUACCUUCAAGCUUCAGGACCAACUUUGCAGCAAGCUGCUCCAGAUAAGAAUCUAAUUCGCCCUUCUUGGCCUUGAGGCUUCCAACUUUGUUGGUCAAGCUGUCCUUGUCUCUCUUCAGUUGCUCGACCUCCCGAGUGGCUUCAGAGACGGCGGUCUUCAACUUGGAGUUCUCAGCUUCCAACUUGCUGACUGAAGCCAGCUUCUUGUUCGCAAGCGCUGUUUUAUCUCGCGCCUCCUUCUGGGCCGCAGCAAGAUCCCCAUCCUUCUUAUCCAGAGCCUGCUUCAUUUUCUCUAAAGAAAUAACAUUCUUCAGACGAGCUUGAAGUUGAUGGUUUUCACUACGCACAUCUGUUCAAGUGAAAUCACUCGGUUCAAAGAGACUAAAAGAAAAAACAUUGGGAAGAGCGAGUCACAAGGUGGACAGUCGACGAUCGGUGUGACGCCCCCGAUUUAAUCAUACACUAAUCAUACACGCAAACGUGUACGAUCAAGAUCAGGGACUCACGGGAAGAUAUCACAACACAACUCUACAAAUAAAAUAAGUCAUACAAGCAUCAUAAUACAAGCCAGGGGCCUCGAGGGCUCGAAUACAAGUGCUCGAUCUUAGACGAGUCAGCGGAAGCAACAAGAUCUGAGUAUAGACAUAAGUUAAACAAGUUGCCAUAAGAUGGCUAGCACAAACUGGGAUACAGAUCGAAAGAGGCGCAGGCCUCCUGCCUGGGAUCCUCCUAACUACUCCUGGUCGUCGUCAGCAGCCUACACAUAGUAGUAGGCACCUCCAGUGUAGUAGUCGUCGUCGAUGGUGGCGUCUGGCUCCUGGGCUCCAGCAUCUGGUUGCAACAACCAGGUAGAAAGGAAAGGAGGGAAAUUGGGGAGAAAAGCAACCAUGAGUACUCAUCCAAAGUACUCGCAAGCAAGGAUCUACACUACACAUGCAUGGGUAUAUGUGUAAAGAGGCAAUAUUGAUGGACUGAACUGCAGAAUGCCAGAAUAAGAGGGGGAUAGCUAGUCCUAUCGAAGACUACGCUUCUGGCAGCCUCCGUCUUGCAGCAUGUAGAAGAGAGUAGAUUGAAGUCCUCCAAGUAGCCUCGCAUAGCAUAAUCCUACCCGGCGAUCCUCCCCUCGUCGCCCUAUGGAAAAGCGAUCACCGGGUUGUCUGUGGAACUUUUCUGGGUGAGCUUUAUUAACUAUCCAGUUCUAGUUGUCAUAAGGUCAAGGUACAACUCUGGGUCAUCCUUUUACCGAGGGACACGGCUAUUCGAAUAGAUCAACUUCCCUACAGGGAUGCACCACAUUUCCCAACACGCUCGAUCCCAUUUGGCCGAACACACUUUCCUGGGUCAUGCCUGGCCUCGGAAGAUCAACACGUCGCAGCCCCACCUAGGCACAACAGAGAGGUCAGCACGCCGGUCUAAAUCCUAUGUGCACAGGGAUCUGAGCCCAUCGCCCAUUGCACACCCAAACAUUGCGAGGGCAACCGGAAGCAGACCUAGCAACCUCCAUUACAAAGGAAGUCACGUUACGCGGUCCAAUCCAGCGCGCGCCGCUCCGUCCCUGACGUCAAGAAGGCUUCGGCUGAUACCACGAUGCCGAGUGCCCAUAACUGUUCCCGCGUAGUUGGUUAGUGCGUAUAGGCCAGUGGCCAGACUCAGAUCAAAUAUCAAGAUCUUGGUAAGCGUGUUAUUAUGAAGUAACCGCGAACGCCGACCAGGGCCAGGCCCACCUCUCACCUAGGUGUUCUCAACCUGCCCUGUCGCUCCGCCUCAAAGUAAUAGUCGGGGGUCGUCGGGAACCCAGGCCCACCUCUACUGGGAUGGAGCCACCUGUCCUUCCAGCCCCCACAUCGGAAUCACUUGCGGGUACUCAACGAGCUGACCCGACUUUAGUCACCAUCAGUAUAAUAUGUAUAUAUGUAUAGUAUAUACCCGUGAUCACCUCCCGAGUGAUCACGGCCCAAUAGUAUAGCAAGGCAGACUGGCAAGAAUGUAGGGCCAAUGAUGAUAAACUAGCAUCCUAUACUAAGCAUUUAGGAUUGAGGGUAAGGUAUCAAUGACUGUAGCAACAAUGACAGGCUAUGCAACAGAAUAGGAGUAACUGAACAGUAACAUGCUACACUACUCUAAUGCAAGGAGUAUAGAGAAGAACAAGCGAUAUCUGGUGAUCAAGGGGGGGGCUUGCCUGGUUGCUCAGACAAGAAGGAGGGGUCGUCGGUGACGUAGUCGACCACAGGGGCAUCAACAUCGUCACGGGGUCUACCAGAGAGAAGAGGGGGGAGAAACAGUAAAUACAUAGCAAGCAAGUGCAUAACAGGACAACAAGCAGAGCUAGACGUGUUCUAACGCGGUAUGAGGUGAUACCGGUGAAGGGGGGAAACAUCCGGGAAAGUAUCCCCGGUGUUCCGUGUUUUCGGACAAAUGAAUCGGAGGGGGAAAGUUGCGUGUUUUCUAUGCUAGGGAUGUGUGGUGGAUGAACGGGCUGCGUAUUUGGAUUCGUCUCGUCGUUCUGAGCAACUUUCAUCUACAAAGUAUUUUCAUCUGAGCUACGGUUUAUUUUAUAUUAAUUUUUUAAGUUUUAACUCAUAUUUGAAAUUAACAGAUUUUAAUUAAUUAGAAAAGGUAAAUAUUGGGUCAGCGUGACAUCAGCAAGUCUAAAGGUUGACUAGGUCAACCCUGGCACAUGGGGACUGUUUGACAUAGUCUCAGGUUAAUUAAACAUGGUUAAUUAGUUAACUAAAAUGGUUAGGUUAAUAUAAUACAAAAUUAAUUAAGUUAAUUAAUUCUUUAAUUAAUUAAUUAUUUUUAUUUAUUAUUAAUUAAUUUGUUUAACUAACGUUCUCGGGGCGUGGCCCCAAUUGUCAUUGGGCCAGGGGGCCUUAGCGGGCGCCGGCGCUAGCGGGCAGCGGGUGUGGUGCCCGUGCCCGAGGCCGUAGCCUGCCCGGGCGACGGGGGGAGCCGGGCACGAGCUCUGGCGGCCAGGGGCCGCAAUGGCGCUGGCCAGAACAGGGCGGCACGGCGGACGGGAAGUGGUCGGUCCGGCCAGCGCGCAGGGGAGCGACAGCGGCGGGGUGCGGUGGCGAUGCGCGGGGUAGGCUGCGGGUGCAGCGCGCGGCCAGUGCGACCGAGGCGCGCGAGUUGGUGCGGGACAGAGAGGAGAAUGGGGAGAGAGCGAGGGCGGGACGGCGUCCAAGGCGACGUUCGACACGGGAGAAGGGGAGUGCGAGGAGAGGGAGGUGCUCACGGCGGGGCCAUAGGGUACUGGCAGUGGGCUCGAGGAGGUCCGGCGAGGCGGCACCGGUGACGGAGAGGACGGAGGUGACGGGGUCGACGUCGGGGUGGUCGACGACGAACAGGAUGGGGGCGAUGGCGUCCGGCGAGGUGGUCCUCCAGGCGAUGGUGACGACAAGGGGGUGACGGGGUGGCUCCGGUGAGGCUCGCGGAGCUCCAGGCGGCAGUGGCCUCCUCCUCUCGAUCCCGNNNNNNNNNNNNNNNNNNNNNNNNNNNNNNNNNNNNNNNNNNNNNNNNNNNNNNNNNNNNNNNNNNNNNNNNNNNNNNNNNNNNNNNNNNNNNNNNNNNNNNNNNNNNNNNNNNNNNNNNNNNNNNNNNNNNNNNNNNNNNNNNNNNNNNNNNNNNNNNNNNNNNNNNNNNNNNNNNNNNNNNNNNNNNNNNNNNNNNNNNNNNNNNNNNNNNNNNNNNNNNNNNNNNNNNNNNNNNNNNNNNNNNNNNNNNNNNNNNNNNNNNNNNNNNNNNNNNNNNNNNNNNNNNNNNNNNNNNNNNNNNNNNNNNNNNNNNNNNNNNNNNNNNNNNNNNNNNNNNNNNNNNNNNNNNNNNNNAGUGGGGUGUCGGUGGCGGUUCGGGUUUCUGGGGGGAGUGGAUAAGGGGAGUGGGGGGAGUGGCCGGCUGGGCCUGGUGGGUUGGCCCAGUGGGGCUGAUGGCCUGCUAGGCCGGAGCCCGGGGGUUCCUCCUUCUGUUUUUUUGUUUUUUUAAUUUAUUUCUUUUAUUUAUUUUUCUUUUCUAUUAUAUUUAAUUUAAAGCACUUAGGCACUUUGUAAAAUUAUGUUUUCUUCACUAUAACUACCUAAGUGAUAUUAGGCACUACCCGAACAUUUUUGUUAUAACUUUUGAAAACUUUUAUUGUUGACAUUAAUUUGAAUUUGAAUUUUGAAACGGUUUCGAAAUAACUCGAGUUUAUCAACAGUAACCGAGGUGACGUGGCACCAUUAGCAGAGGUUCACUGUAGCUUAAUUACCCGGGCGUCACAAUUGGUUACCUCCCAUGAUAGCUACUUUGUCCUGAGCAGUCUUGAGGUUCUUCUUGGCCAGUUCCAGGUCAAGGUUGAGGAUGAUUUGCUUCUUGUUCAGUUUAGAAAGUUGAGCCCCAAGAUCACAAGACCUCUGCAGCCAGCAAAUAAGAUAUGUUAGUCGACAAAAACAAAAGUCAAUCAAAGUGAAAGUUGUUCUAAGACUACCGCUGAAUCAAACAUUCAACAGUAGUCUCAGGGACUACACCCUGUGGGUGCACUUAGCGUGCCCCCACUGGUUCGGUUUUACACUCGGCAUGGUCUGCCCAGCAUGAGUAAAAAAGGAGAUUCUCAGACCCCAGCCGACUACCAACAGUCCAUGGCGGUCUCGGGGAAUACACCCAGUGGGUGCACUCUGCGUGCCCCCACAGGUUCGAAAAAACACUCGACCCAACCUAGUCGACUCAAGUGGAAGAACUAUACAUCUCUAAGACAGAAACACCCGAGUGGGUGAUUGGAUGUGAAACAGAGACCCAUGAUAGAUGCACAUAAUAGGUUCCAAAACGCUCAUCCAAGAGCACCAUAUGGGCAACGAGGCAACAAUAGCAACUAUCAUUUCUCAAAGAGACCAGUCGGGAAUCAACUAACCUUGACGUUGGUUUGCAGAGCAGUGCUGACAUCAUAAGCUACCUGACUGGCCUCAUGCACCACCUUCAUCUGCUCCAUCACGAGAUUUACCUGGAGAAGGGCCUCCCUGGCGGCACUCGGUGAGUCAUCUGGAGUCUGGUAUGCAGUGAAGAGUGAUGAGGGAAAUGCAGUCGGAACAGCCACAGGGUCAGAUGCAUGGAGUUGUACUGGAGCGGCAGAGAUCUGAGCAGUCGACCCUGAUGGACGGUCAGUCAACAGCGGAUUGGCAAAGGUAACAUUGGUCCGAGCCAGAUCUCCGGAUCGCUGGACCACUGUCUCAAGCACCGGUGCCGACUGAAGGACCUGACCCUCGGGCGCUUUCCCGCUUGACGCAUUGCCUCUCCUCCUCCUCUCUCUCAGAGGCACUUCUUCUUCAUCAUCCAGAAGCUCAAUGACAUCCCGUGGAGCUGCAGCAAAAAGUAACCUCAGAAAUUAAAUCGGCCAACAAUUCAAUCAGCAGAAUAGAUUCAAGUCGAAUGGAACAUACUAGCUUUGGAGGUGGCCGCAUCAUCGGUUUCCUCGUCACCUGGGGCCUUGUCAACGUCCAUGUCAGUCGCGGCGGAGGCUGGGCUGGAAAAGUUUACAAUCCAUUUGGUCAGAACAGAAGUAUCAGUCGGUGGAAGAAAAUGUUGGAAAUAUGCCCUAGAGGCAAUAAUAAAAUGGUUAUUAUUAUAUUUCUUUGUUCAUGAUAAUUGUCUAUUAUUCAUGCUAUAACUGUGUUAUCCGGAAAUCGUAAUGCACGUGUGAAUACAUAGACCACAACAUGUCCCUAGUAAGCCUCUAGUUGACUAGCUCGUUGAUCAACAGAUAGUCAUGGCUUCCUGACUAUGGGCAUUGGAUGUCGUUGAUAACGGGAUCACAUCAUUAGGAGAAUGAUUUGAUGGACAAGACCCAAUCCUAAGCAUAGCUCAAAGAUCGUGUAGUUCGUUUAGCUAGAGCUUUUCCAAAUGUCAAGUAUCAUUUCCUUAGACCAUGAGAUUGUGCAACUCCCGGAUACCAUAGGAGUGCUUUGGGUGUGCCAAACGUCACAACAUAACUGGGUGACUAUAAAGGUGCACUACGGGUAUUUCCGAAAGUGUCUGUUGGGUUGGCACGAAUCAAGACUGGGAUUUGUCACUCCGUAUGACGGAGAGGUAUCUCUGGGCCCACUCGGUAAUGCAUCAUCACAAUGAGCUCAAUGUGACCAAGUGUCUGGUCACGGGAUCAUGCAUUACGGUACGAGUAAAGUGACUUGCCGGUAACGAGAUUAAACGAGGUAUUGGGAUACCGACGAUCGAGUCUCGGGCAAGUAACGUACCGAUUGACAAAGGGAAUUGUAUACGGGGUUGAUUGAAUCCUCGACAUCAUGGUUCAUCCGAUGAGAUCAUCGAGGAGCAUGUGGGAGCCAACAUGGGUAUCCAGAUCCCGCUGUUGGUUAUUGACCGGAGAGGCGUCUCGGUCAUGUCUGCAUGUCUCCCGAACCCGUAGGGUCUACACACUUAAGGUUCGGUGACGCUAGGGUUGAAGAGAUAUUAGUAUGCAGUAACCUGAAAGUUGUUCGGAGUCCCAGAUGAGAUCCCGGACGUCACAAGGAGUUCCGGAAUGGUCCGGAGGUGAAGAAUUAUAUAUAGGAAGUCAGGUUUCGGCCAUCGGGAAAGUUUCGGGGGUCACCGAUAUUGUACCGGGACCACCGGAAUGGUCCCGGGGGUCCACUGGGUGGGGCCACCUAUCCUGGAGGGCCCCAUGGGCUUAAAUGGGAGGGGAACCAGCCCCAGGUGGGAUGGUGCGCCCCCCUUGGCCCCCCCUGCGCCUAGGGUUGGAAACCCUAUGGGUGGGAGCGCCUCCACCUGGCUUGGGGGGCAAGUUUCCCCCCUGGCCCCCCCUUGGAGAUCCCAUCUCCUAGGGCCGGCGCCCCCCCUAGGGGGCCUAUAUAAAGAGGGGGGAGGGAGGGCAGCCGCACCCAUGCUCUUGGCGCCUCCCUCUCCCAUUGCUACACCUCUCCCUCUCAUAGAAGCUCGGCGAAGCCCUGCCGAGAUCACUGCUACAUCCACCACCACACCGUCGUGCUGCUGGAUCUCUGUCAACCUCUCCUCCCCCCUUGCUGGAUCAAGAAGGAGGAGACGUCUUCCUCAACGGUACGUGUGUUGAACGUGGAGGUGCUGUCCGUUCAGCACUAGGAUCAUCGGUGAUUUGGAUCACGACGAGUACGACUCCCUCAACCCCGUUCUCUUGAACGCUUCCGCUCGCGACCUACAAGGGUAUGUAGAUGCACUCCUUUCUCUCGUUGCUAGAUGAACUCAUAGAUUUAUCUUGGUGAAAGCGUAGAAUUUUUUUUAUAUUCUGCAACGUUACCCAAUAGUGGCAUCAUGAGCUAGGUCUAUGCGUAGUUCUCUUUGCAUGAGUAGAACACAAAUUUGUUGUGGGCGUAGAUGUUGUCAACUUUCUUGCCACUACUAGUCUUAUUUUGCUUCAGCGGUAUUGUGGGAUGAAGUGGCCCGGACCGACCUUACACGUACGCUUACGUGAGACAGGUUCCACCGACUGACAUGCACUAGUUGCAUAAGGUGGCUAGCGGGUGUCUGUCUCUCCCACUUUAGUUGGAGCGGAUUCGAUGAAAAGGGUCCUUAUGAAGGGUAAAUAGAAGUUGGCAAAUCACGUUGUGGCUUUUACGUAGGUAAGAAAACGUUCUUGCUAGAACCCUAUUGCAGCCACGUAAAACAUGCAACAACAAUUAGAGGACGUCUAACUUGUUUUUGCAGCAUAUGAUUUGUGAUGUGAUAUGGCCAAAAGUUGUGAUGAAUGAUGAAUGAUAUAUAUGUGAUGUAUGAGAUCAUGUUCUUGUAAUAGGAAUCACGACUUGCAUGUUGAUGAGUAUGACAACCGGCAGGAGCCAUAGGAGUUGUCUUAAUUAUUGUAUGACCUGCGUGUCAAUGAUUAACACCAUGUAAUUACUUUACUUUAUUGCUAAACCGUUAGCCAUAGUAGUAGAAGUAAUAGUUGGCGAGCAACUUCAUGGAGACAUGAUGAUGGAGAUCAUGAUGAUGGAGAUCAUGGUGUCUUGCCGGUGACAAAGAUGAUCAUGGAGCCCUGAAGAUGGAGAUCAAAGGAGCUAUAUGAUAUUGGCCAUAUCAUGUCACUAUUUGAUUGCAUGUGAUGUUUAUCAUGUUUUUCAUCUUAUUUGCUUAGAACGACGGUAGCUUAAAUAAGAUGAUCCCUCGUAAUAAUUUCAAGAAAGUGUUCCCCCUAACUGUGCAUCGUUGCGAAGGUUCGUUGUUUCGAAGCACCACAUGAUGAUCGGGUGUGAUAGAUCCUAACGUUCGAAUACAACGGGUGUAAGCCAGAUUUACACACGCAAUACACUUAGGUUGACUUGACGAGCCUAGCAUGUACAGACAUGGCCUCAGAACACGGAGGACCGAAAGGUCGAGCAUGAGUCGUAUAGAAGAUAGGAUCAACAUGGAGAUGUUCACCGACGUCAACUAGUCCGUCUCACGUGAUGAUCGGACACGGCCUAGUUGACUCGGAUCAUGUUUCACUUAGAUGACUAGAGGGAUGUCUAAUCUGAGUGGGAGUUCAUUAAAUAAUUUGAUUAGAUGAACUUAAUUAUCAUGAACUUAGUCUAAAAUCUUUACAAUAUGUCUUGUAGAUCAAAUGGCCCACGUUACCCUCAACUUCAACGCGUUCCUAGAGAAAACCAAGCUGAAAGAUGAUGGUAGCAACUAUACGGACUGGGUCCAGAACCUGAGGAUCAUCCUCAUAUCUGCCAAGAAAGAUUAUGUCCUAGAAGCACCUCUAGGUGAAGCACCAAUCCCAGAGAACCAAGACGUUAUGAACGAUUGGCAGUCUCGUGCUGAUGAUUACUCCCUCGUUCAGUGCGGCAUGCUUUGCAGCUUAGAACCGGGGCUCCAAAAGCGUUUUGAGCAACACAGAGCAUAUGAGAUGUUCGAAGAGCUGAAAAUGGUUUUCCAAGCUCAUGCCCGGGCCGAGAGAUAUGAAGUCUCCGACAAGUUCUUCAGUUGUAAGAUGGAGGAAAAUAGUUCUGUCAGUGAGCACAUACUCAAGAUGUCUGGGUUGCACAACCGCUUGACUCAGCUGGGAGUUAAUCUCCCAGAUGACGCGGUCAUUGACAGAAUCCUUCAGUCGCUCCCACCGAGCUACAAGAGCUUUGUGAUGAACUUCAAUAUGCAGGGGAUGGAAAAGACCAUUCCUGAGGUAUAUUCAAUGCUGAAAUCAGCGGAGGUGGAGAUCAAAAAGGAACAUGUUGAUGGUGAAUAAAACCACUAAGUUCAAGAAAGGCAAGGGUAAGAAGAACUUCAAGAAGGACGGCAAGGGAGUUUCCGCGCCCGGUAAGCCAGUUGCCGGGAAGAAGUCAAACAAUGGACCCAAGUCUGAAACUGAGUGCUUUUAUUGCAAGGGAAGUGGUCACUAGAAGCGGAACUGCCCCAAGUACUUAGCAGACAAGAAGGCCGGCAAAACCAAAGGUAUAUGUGAUAUACAUGUAAUUGAUGUGUACCUUACCAGUACUCAUAGUAGCUCUUGGGUAUUUGAUACCGGUGCGGUUGCUCAUAUUUGUAACUCAAAGCAGGAGCUGCGGAAUAAGCGGAGACUGGCGAAGGACAAGGUGACGAUGCGCGUUGGGAAUGGUUCCAAGGUCGAUGCGAUCGCCGUCGACACGCUACCUCUACAUUUACCCACGGGAUUAGUUUUAAACCUCAAUAAUUGUUAUUUAGUACCAGCUUUGAGCAUGAACAUUGUAUCAUGAUCUCGUUUAAUUCGAGAUGGCUACUCAUUUAAAUCCGAGAAUAAUGGUUGUUCUAUUUAUAUGAGAGAUAUGUUUUAUGGUCACGCCCCGCUGGUGAAUGGUUUAUUCUUAAUGAAUCUCGAGCGUAAUGUUACACAUGUUCAUAGUGUGAAUACCAAAAGAUGUAAAGUUGAUAACGAUAGUCCCACAUACUUGUGGCACUGCCGCCUUGGUCACAUUGGUGUCAAGCGCAUGAAGAAGCUCCAUGCUGAUGGACUUUUAGAGUCUCUCGAUUAUGAAUCAUUUAACACAUGCGAACCAUGCCUCAUGGGCAAAAUGACCAAGACUCCGUUCUACGGAACAAUGGAGCGAGCAACCAACUUAUUGGAAAUCAUACAUACUGAUGUGUGCGGUCCAAUGAGCGUUGAGGCUCGCAGAGGAUAUCAUUAUGUUCUCACUCUCACUGACGACUUGAGUAGAUAUGGGUAUGUCUACUUGAUGAAACACAAGUCUGAGACCUUUGAAAAGUUCAAGGAAUUUCAGAAUGAGGUAGAGAAUCAACAUGACCGAAAGAUAAAGUUCUUACGAUCAGAUCAUGGAGGAGAAUAUUUAAGUCACGAAUUUGGUACGCACUUAAGGAAAUGUGGAAUCGUUUCACAACUCACGCUGCCUGGAACACCUCAGCGUAACGGUGUGUCCGAAUGUCGUAAUCGCACUUUAUUGGAUAUGGUGCGAUCUAUGAUGUCUCUUAUCGAUUUACCGCUAUCAUUUUGGGGAUACGCUCUAGAGACAACUACAUUCACUUUAAAUAGGGCACCGUCUAAAUCCGUUGAGACGACACCGUAUGAAUUAUGGUUUGGGAAGAAACCUAAGCUGCCGUUUCUAAAAGUUUGGGGAUGCGAUGCUUAUGUCAAGAAACUUCAACCUGAAAAGCUCGAAUCCAAGUCGGAAAAAUGCAUCUUCAUAGGAUACCCUAAGGAAACCAUUGGGUAUACCUUCUACUUAAGAUCCGAAGGCAAGAUCUUUGUUGCCAAGAAUGGGUCCUUUAUGGAGAAAGAGUUUCUCUCAAAAGAAUUAAGUGGGAGGAAAGUAGAGCUUGAUGAAGUACCGCCUCUUGAACCGGUGAGUAGCGCAGCUCAGGAAGAUGUUCCUGUGGUGCCAGCACCAACUGAAGAGGAAGUUAAUGAUGAUGAUCAAGGUACUUCGGAUCAAGUUACUAGUGAACUUCAUAGGUCCACGAGGACACGUUCCACACCACAGUGGUACGGCAACCCUGUCCUGGAAAUCAUGUUGUUAGACAAUGGUGAACCUUCGAACUAUGAAGAAGCGAUGGUGGACCCAGAUUCCAACAAAUGGCUUGAAGCCAUGCAAUCCGAGAUAGGAUCCAUGUAUGAAAACAAAGUAUGGACUUUGACAGACUUGCCCGAUGAUUGGCGAGCGAUAGAAAACAAAUGGAUCUUUAAGAAGAAGACGGACGCGGAUGGUAAUGUUACCAUCUAUAAAGCUCGACUUGUCGCUAAGGGUUAUCGACAAGUUCAAGGGGUUGACUACGAUGAGACAUUCCCUCCCGUAGUGAAGCUAAAGUCCAUCCGAAUCAUGUUAGCAAUUGCCGCAUACUAUGAUUAUGAGAUAUGGCAAAUGGACGUCAAAACGGCAUUCCUUACCGGGCAUCUUAAGGAAGAACUGUAUAUGAUGCAGCCGGAAGGUUUUGUCGACCCUGAGAAUGCAAACAAGGUAUGCAAGCUCCAGCGAUCCAUUUAUGGGCUGGUGCAAGCAUCUCGGAGUUGGAACAUUCGCUUUGUUGAGAUGAUCAAAGUAUUUGGGUUUAUGCAGACUUAUGGAGAAGCCUGCGUUUACAAGAAAGUGAGUGGGAGCUCUGUAGCAUUUCUCAUAUUAUAUGUAGAUGACAUACUUUUGAUGGGAAAUGAUAUAGAACUUUUGGACAACAUUAAGGCCUACUUGAAUAAGUGUUUUUCAAUGAAGGACCUUGGAGAAGCUGCUUACAUAUUAGGCAUCAAGAUCUAUAGGGAUAGAUCGAGACGCCUCAUAGGUCUUUCACAAAGCACAUACCUUGAUAAGAUAUUGAAGAAGUUCAAUAUGGAUCAGUCCAAGAAAGGGUUCUUGCCUGUAUUGCAAGGUGUGAGAUUGAGCUCGGCUCAAUGCCCGACCACGGCAGAAGAUAAAGAAGAGAUGAGUGUCAUCCCCUAUGCCUCAGCCAUAGGGUCUAUUAUGUAUGCCAUGUUGUGUACCAGACCUGAUGUAAACCUUGCCGUAAGUUUGGUAGGAAGGUACCAAAGUAAUCCCGGCAAGGAACAGUGGACAGCGGUCAAGAACAUCCUAAAGUACCUGAAAAGGACUAAGGAUAUGUUUCUCGUUUAUGGAGGUGACGAAGAGCUCGUCGUAAAGGGUUACGUUGCCGCUAGCUUCGACACAGAUCUGGAUGACUCUAAGUCACAAACCGGAUACGUGUAUAUUUUGAAUGGUGGGGCAGUAAGCUGGUGCAGUUGCAAGCAAAGCGUCGUGGCGGGAUCUACAUGUGAAGCAGAGUACAUGGUAGCCUCGGAGGCAGCGCAUGAAGCAAUCUGGGUGAAGGAGUUCAUCACCGACCUAGGAGUCAUACCCAAUGCGUCGGGGCCGAUCGCACUCUUCUGUGACAACACUGGAGCUAUUGCACUUGCCAAGGAGCCUAGGUUUCACAAGAAGACUAGGCACAUCAAGCGUCGCUUCAACUCCAUACGUGAAAAUGUUCAAGAUGGAGACAUAGAUAUUUGUAAAGUACAUACGGACCUGAAUGUAGCAGAUCCGUUGACUAAACCUCUCCCUAGGGAAAAGCAUGAUCAACACCACUAUGGGUGUUCGAUUCAUCACAAUGUAACUAGAAUAUUGACUCUAGUGCAAGUGGGAGACUGUUGGAAAUAUGCCCUAGAGGCAAUAAUAAAAUGGUUAUUAUUAUAUUUCUUUGUUCAUGAUAAUUGUUUGUUAUUCAUGCUAUAACUCUGUUAUCCGGGAAUCGUAAUGCACGUGUGAAUACAUAGACCACAACAUGUCCCUAGUAAGCCUCUAGUUGACUAGCUCGUUGAUCAACAGAUAGUCAUGGUUUCCUGACUAUAGGCAUUGGAUGUCGUUGAUAACGGGAUCACAUCAUUAGGAGAAUGAUGUGAUGGACAAGACCCAAUCCUAAGCAUAGCUCAAAGAUCGUGUAGUUCGUUUAGCUAGAGCUUUUCCAAAUGUCAAGUAUCAUUUCCUUACACCAUGAGAUUGUGCAACUCCCGGAUACCAUAGGAGUGCUUUGGGUGUGCCAAACGUCACAACAUAACUGGGUGACUAUAAAGGUGCACUACGGGUAUCUUCAAAAGUGUCUGUUGGGUUGGCACGAAUCAAGACUGGGAUUUGUCACUCCGUAUGACGGAGAGGUAUCUCUGGGCCCACUCGGUAAUGCAUCAUCACAAUGAGCUCAAUGUGACCAAGUGUCUGGUCACGGGAUCAUGCAUUACGGUACGAGUAAAGUGACUUGCCGGUAACGAGAUUAAACGAGGUAUUGGGAUACCGAUGAUCGAGUCUCGGGCAAGUAACGUACCGAUUGACAAAGGGAAUUGUAUACGGGGUUGAUUGAAUCCUCGACAUCGUGGUUCAUCCGAUGAGAUCAUCGAGGAGCAUGUGGGAGCCAACAUGGGUAUCCAGAUCCCGCUGUUGGUUAUUGACCGGAGAGGCAUCUUGGUCAUGUCUGCAUGUCUCCCGAACCCGUAGGGUCUACACACUUAAGGUUCGGUGACGCUAGGGUCGAAGAGAUAUUAGUAUGCAGUAACCCGAAAGUUGUUCGGAGUCUCGGAUGAGAUCCCGGACGUCACGAGUUCUGGAAUGGUCCGGAGGUGAAGAAUUAUAUAUAGGAAGUCAGGUUUCGGCCAUCGGGAAAGUUUCGGGGGUCACCGGUAUUGUACCGGGACCAUCGGGUGGGGCCCCAUGGGCUGAAGUGGGAGGGGAACCAGCCCCAGGUGGGCUGGUGCGCCCUCCCCCUUGCCCCCCUGCGCCUAGGGUUGGAAACCCUACGGGUGGGGGCGCCUCCACCUGGCUUGGGGGGCAAGUUUCCCCCCUGGCCGCCCACCCCCCCUUGGAGAUGCUAUCUCCUAGGCCCCCCCCAUAGGGGGCCUAUGUAAAGAGGGGGGGGGGAGGGAGGGCAGCCGCACCCAUGCUCUUGGUGCCUCCCUCUCCCAUUGCUACACCUCCCCCUCUCGUAGAAGCUCGGCGAAGCCCUGCCGAGAUCACUGCUGCAUCCACCACCACGCCGUCAUGCUGCUGGAUCUCCUUCAACCUCUCCUCCCCCCUUGCUGGAUCAAGAAGGAGGAGACGUCUUCCUCAACCGUACGUGUGUUGAACGCGGAGGUGCUGUCCGUUCAGCACUAGGAUCAUCGAUGAUUUCGAUCACGACAAGUACGACUCCCUCAACCCCAUUCUCUUGAAUGCUUCCGCUCGCGAUCUACAAGGGUAUGUAGAUGCACUCCUUUCUCUUGUUGCUAGAUGAACACAUAGAUUGAUCUUGGUAAAAGCAUAGAUUUUUUUUUUAUUUUCUGCAACGUUCCCCAACAGAAAACACAUAAAGAAAGAACACUCACAGAGAGGCGACAGGAACAUCCAUCUUGAUCUUGGGCAAAGUCUUCCGAGCCUUUGAGGGGACGACCUUGGGCUGCUUGGCGACCUUCUCCGUCGGCUCAGGAGUCGAAGUCCGAGUGCACUUUUGUGCUUGAGUGCUCGGAGCCACGGUCUUGCCAUGCCCGCCCGCUGGAUCAUGGAGUAGCUUGGAUCGACGUUCCGUGCAAGGUGGUGAGUCGACUAUCUCGUCGUCAUCCGACUCAUCGCUUUCCUCCUCGUCCUCGUGUUCUGGAGAUUGCCAAUCACCGCUUUCCUCUGUGCUGUCUGCUCCCUCCUGGUCUUGCUCUAGAGCUUGUUCACCAUUGGGCAUCGAGCACAUCUCAGUGUAAACCUACAAGACAAGAAGUCAAGCAAAUAUCAGUCGGAUUCGAAGAUAGUCGCAAAACGUAUCGAAAUACAGUCGGUAGCGGAGACCAAACCUUAUCUGGCUUGUUGCUGUCGCUGAAUGGGUCAACUCUCCUGGCUCCCCUGGGGUUGUCCUUGUUUCCUGUAAUACCCUUCAUCCACAGGGCCACUGUCUUGGCCGAAACCUCCUCUGGAUGAACCCGAGUGGUGUCAUUGGCUCCAGAGAACAUCCACAUCGAGUGAUCAUGAGCCGGGAGCGGCUGGAUGCAUCGACUGAGAAACAUCUCCAACAAGUCCAUGCCGGUGACACCCUGAUCGAUCAACUCGACCACUCUCUUGACCAACAUGUUUGUUUCCACCCUCUCUGCAGCGGUCACUUUCAGUGAAGAAGGUUGCUGGGCGCGAUCUAAAGGAAAAAGGGGGAAGUCCAGUCGACUGACCUGGAGUCGCGAUGUCCUAGUAGUAGAACCAGGUCGACUGCCAGCCCCUGACCAACUCAGGAAGUGUCAUGGAAGGGAAAAAACUUCUUUUCCUCUUUUGGAUAACCAAACCCCCACACAUUUGGAUAAUGUGUGUUCUCUCGUCACUCAUAUUCGCUUUCUUCACCGACUGGGAGCGGAUUGUGAAGAUGUGCUUGAAAAGGACGCAGUGCGGUCGACAACCCAGGAAGUUUUCGCACAUGGACACAAACGCGGCAAGGUACGUGAUGGUGUUGGGAGAGAAGUUGAUAGAGGCAAAGGUGUCCCGUCUUUCGAUGAGAUGAUGGAUAUCGCUUUGGUGGAAGUCGACUUUGACGAUCCGACUACGAACGUGCGAGGACGUCGCGCCUUAGCAAUCGCUAUACCAACUCCGAGAGGUUAUUGACCACGCCGGAGCACGAUCAACCUGACCACGAAGGUCUGUUUCCUGCAGGUAAACAAAGAACAAGCAAGAAACUAAGAUUGCAAUCUGGAUAUUGCGAAUAUGAGAGGGAGCUUUAUUGAUCAAGGUGGGGUUCUGUGACGCCUUUGUCUGGUCGUUGAACACAAACGAAGUACGUGAAGUUUCAGCUAUGGAGAACUUUUAAUCUAGACAAAACCCCAAAGUCUAAAUGGUGCCCUAAGGGCUGUAUAUAUGGAGGAAGAGGGGGUGAAUUUCGUGGCCCUUGGUGGAGGGGUCCGAAACUAACCCUAUCUCUUGUUUCCCCACACAUGCGGACUCUAAAAAUAGCCUAUACUUAUGUAUUUCGAAAUUACAUGGGCCUGGCCCAAUAAUAAGGUGACGCAGCACCUAGAAUAGCCUCUGGACGAAAUUUAUGAAGUGGCAUCUUGUAUAUUUCGUCCAAGGCUUCAUGCACUCAUUAUGGUGGCUUCAAAGUCCUGAAAUCAUCACUUGUAACUCCGUUCUUGUUCCCCUUGCGCAUGCCAUCAUCUCCAUGCUUGUUCUUGCUCCAAUGUUCAUCCUUCUCCAAGCUAGGCCCUUCAUUUGUAAGCAAAACAAAUGUAUCCAAUUUAGGCAGCAUCAUAUUCUCAUGAACAUUAGAAUCAUUACCAAGAAAUGAAAGUACCUGAUAAUUUAAUUGGUGUGCGCGAGCUCUAGUAAUUGGUCCAGUAUAUGUAGCAGUAGGGGCUGUGGGUGUAACAAUGGUAUUGAUGUCCUCAUCAGAAGUGAUGGAUUUGGGCUCCGAAAAAGUUCAUGAAACCCCGGAAAAAAGGGUGCGGGGGAAGGGAGAAAACGUGGUCGACAUGGGUGGCGAGUAGAACACACUCACCCGGUCGCGGCUGGGGUUCCGUCUCCCCCUCCGGCAGCCUCGCAGCCCCGUUGGCGAUCAGUCCGGACUCAGCCAGCUCCUCCAAAUCUUCCGGCCGGAGCGAAGAUCGGAUCCAAUCGCCCUAGAUCCAACCCGGCGGCAGCGGCGACCGCGAUGACAACCCUCGAUUCGUCUUCUUGCCUUUCGCCGCCCCCGUCGCCUUCUUCACGCGUUCCAGCACCGCUGUCUUGUCCUUCACCAUGGUGGCGGAGCGGCAGCGUCGAGAGCGGAGGAGCCGGAUGUGGAGGAGAAGCAGAGGAGAAAGAAGGAGAAUGGAUGCGCACAGUGCAGACGCCUCGGCCCCGUUGCCUUUUAAGGACUCACUUCCGAGUGGCUGACGCAUGGGCCCGGGUGAUCCUGUCAAAUCCCGCAACAGUCGCGCGCUGAGUACGUGGAGAAAAAGGUGGGUGUAGUCCCCGAAAUUUUGAAUCCCGUGAAAUCCGGGAUACGCCAUAACCAAUUGCGCCAAAGACUUCGCGUCAAAAAUAACACUCGAUGAAUGACGAUAUAAAUCCACUCGGCAACUUCUGAAUCGAUCAAGGCGACUGUAACGAAGCUGAAGUUCCAACACAGGCUUCCAGUUCAACAUAGAUACCUGUGAAGCUCAAUAGUCGAAGCAAGACUAACUUCAACUUCUUUUCACUCGGACCUUAAUCCAUUCGGGGUCUAAUGAUGAUGAUAUAGACCUAGGGUAGGGUCAUAGGCCUGACCUAUACACCCUACCCAAGGUCACUACCCUAGAAGCUCAAGAGACAACAAAAAGUGCCCAAUGAAGGUGUCGAGUGCAAUCCACUCGACCAAUCAAUCACUCAGGUACCCCUCCUUCCUGAUGUCACACAACCAGUCGAUCACUCGACCACAGAAGAAACCACUCGACCUACUAAAGACCAGGAGUCACUCAGAACUGCAACGGCGAGGCGUUCACUCCGUAGUCUUUAAGAUCAUUAAAAGUAUUUUAUGGCUGGCGUUAUCAGUAACGCCUCAUCUUUAUGUACACUAGAUCACUGAUGGCGCGCGUUGCCGCGCCCGUCUAUUUUGAUAAUAAAAUUAUUGGAAUUUCUCACGUAGUUAUGGAAUUCGUUUGCCCACAUUUACUGAUAUAAUUCAUUUGUCUGCAUUAACGAUAUACAAAUCGUAAUUCAUUAUAGCAUAAAAGACACAAUUCAGCAAUCGGUGACCUUUUAACUGAAGAAAUCAGAAGAUAUACAACAUGGUCAAGGUAACUAAUAGCUCUUGAUUGAAAAACACCCUUGAUCCUUUAGCGUCAUGUUCCUCAAGGGAAACAAGCAGUUUCCUGAACAAUCGUUAUGGUCACUUGUCAGGAAGCCUUGAACCCUGCAAUAUAGCAGAAGAGGAAGGAAAUGUGAUUUAAUACCAAACAUCACAAGACAAAUAUUUAACAUGCCAGUGUACUAACAGUAUAACACCAAUGCAAAACUUAUUCUGAGCAACCAUUGUAGCCUUUCCAAACUUACUAAAAUUUGGAAGUUAUAUAUGUUCAUAAAUGUAGAUGCUAAUUGCACUCGGGUAAGCCUACACAGAAAACAACCUUGGACUUAAAUACUUUUGGUAUUCAAAUCACGACAUUGCUUACCUAAACAAACAAGAUCUACUAUAUUUCCAUUUUUCACAUUUACAUUCUAUUAUUAGGGAUAAACCUCCCAUUGGUUGUUAAGGCUUACCUUGAAGCUAACAUAGAGAUCACUUAGAUGAUAACAAUCUGAAUUUCCUUGGCCAACACUAAGACAACAAUUAAUGUUUGGACACUGAGUCUCGCGGAACAGGAGCACGUGGGUAGAGAAAAUAAAGAUGUAGAAAUAUUAGAGGCAAAGUGACACUGCUGCAUCUCAAUAGUAUUAUCCAAAAAAUAAUAGAACCAGGCAACAAAUCCUGAAAUUAAGAACCAAGAAAGCAAGUACUCAACAAGGCAUGCAACUAAUUUACAUAUAACACACUGCAUGUUUAGCAGUACUCACUAAUUAACAUUUUAGUACACCAGCUUCAAUAGGAGAGUACCAACAUGUGUAGAGCUGCCGAAAAGAAGCUGCAACGUAGUUGCACUUUGGGUAAAAAAAUGAUUUCAAUUGGGCUUUAGAUUCUUGUAGCACUUUUUGAUGACAUGAACAACGUCCUGUGUGAUGCUAGCAUCAUUAGUGUAACAAUGGAUUGUGUAUUUUAUCCCUACACAGGAUAUCUGUAAGAUGAGUUGGGUAAAGAAAUCAUACGAAGUCAAUUCAGUUACUCAAGUUUGAAAACUUCAUGUUCAGAUUUCUUCAGAUGUAGAAAACUGAUGGGUCCAGAUGAAAGGGUCUGUCCAGCAGCAUUGAUGUUAUUACAUAGAAGUGCACUACUAAGGUAAGUUUUUAAUGUGGACACCAAACGAUAUUGACAACCAAUGCAUGUUUGCAGAGUGUAAUCAGAGAAUUACGUAUAAAAACCUCCAUCCUAAAACAUGAGAAAUUCAAAAUGAACAUAAAGAGUCGAGCAUAUACCUUAAUAUAAUCCUUGAAAUUUUCCAUUGGGGUAUCAAUUAGCUGUGCAAGAAAUCAAAAAAUAAAAAUGCCCGUCAGACAUAGAAUCAAAUAUAAAAGAAUAAAAAAUAAUAAGUUAAAUUUAGAUGCAUAAGUUACAUUACAUGGUCAUAGGCAGCACUGAAGUAAUCACAUUUGGUGGUACUCGAAUCACCUGAUUAGAGUCAUACACUUUACCCAUUAGGCCACAAGAGCUUCUAUGUGAUGACAACAACAUCAAGCAAUUGCAUAUCCAAGCCAUGUGAAUCUGGUUUACAUACAAGAAAAGAAAUGCAUUGGAAAGCUCUGCUUACAUUGGGAGGAAGGGAAUAAAUCAUAAAUCUGCAGAUUGGUUUGAUAUUUGUUUGGCGAAUAGGAUUAGGGAGAUGCCGGCGGCACACAUUAUGUGUGCCCUCACCUUUGGAAAGUUUCCCAGGCUCGUUGGUCAGCUGUUUUGCAUGCGCCUCAGUGUCUAGACAUCAAACACGUACAAAUAGAUGGGGGAAUAUCAAGCAUGUUUGUGUGCCUAGCUAUUAGUUGAUCACCGAGUCACUUCCUCCAUCCUCUACAGGUCUGUGUAUCUCUCCGCAUUCUGCACAGAGAAGAUCGAUAUAUUACAGAUAUCCUCAGUUGCUAGUAAUAUAGAAGCAUCAUCAAGAAACAAAAUCAUUUGCCUGGUGUGCUGGCACGAGGUUAAUCAAUAUCCAACUCUAGAACUAUCGUCAAUUAUCCCCUUCAUACAAGAUUGUGAUCACAACAUCCUUUUUGUUCUACAGUAGAUGGUGUGGAUCAGUAACACAUCAACAUUCCUUUUGUUCUAUAUCAAAUAUGAGAGGAAAGAAGGGUUGGGAUUGGAGGAAGGGGGGCAACGGUGGAGGGGGCUGGGGUAUGGUGGCCGCGCCUACAUGGAUCCCGCCGCAGAGGGGGUGUGUGGGACGCGGCGAACGAGGGUCGUAAGUACGCGGAGGAGAAAUGAUAGGAGAAGCAGGACGGGGAGGAUACCUGUGCCUCCGUGGAUACUGUUGGGCGCGGUCACCAUAGGUAUACCUAUACCGCCGAGGCGCCGACCUCCAUCUAGGGCGCCGCCGGGGAUGGGGAUGAGGACCGAUUACGGGAUGCAGUAUGGGGAGGAGCGUUGCGGAACCAGUAGCGCAACA
rnacentral:lncRNA from 1 species